ACUGCUUCCACUGUAGUACCUACCUUUAUGAUGGUUGAUGGGUUUGUCACAUGAAUAAUUAGUAAGUGACAUGCAACCAAGGAAAGUUUAGUUAGUUUCUGAAGAAUUGGGCAAGGAAAGGUUAGCUGGAGUCUAAGACCAUGGUAGCUACACUUUAGAUUUUGGGAGGAAUAGAUUCAUAUUUUCAUUAAUCCUUGACUCAUUGACUGAUACCACGACAGGACUGAGAUUUUACUCCUAAGAUCCACACCAGCAUAUUUCUUACAUGUUUAUUGUGUUCAAGAGGCUGGAGUUCAGUGUGCCUGAAAUAAAUAGCCCCAUCUUGCCCUGCUGUAUAGGGAAGAACAAGGCUACAGGUAGCAGGUGGGCAAGGAACUUUGUAGGAGGACUUUGAAAAACUCAGGGAAGAGGUGGCCUUGGAGAAAGGUCUUAGGCACACAGCAGAACUUUGGAAAGCAGAAGGAAGCUCUGGAAGCUUGCUGCCCAGUAUCUAUUCUGUCAUUAGCCUAUAAUUUUCCUGAGGCAAUGAAAGCAUUUAUAAAGAUCAGUUCUCUUGUGUUUCAUCUUAUUUUCACAGAACAUAUUGAUGAAUGGAUUUCCUUUUCCCAUUACAUAUUGGCAUUUCUAAUGAUCAAGGACCUAACUCAUCUGAUUGCUGGACUACAAAUUUCAGCCAACCACAAAGGUGGAGGAGAGUGGGCAGAGGAAAGAAGUCGAAGGGAUCCAUGAGAAAGAAUCUAUGCUUAUACUCCAAAAUUCUAACAAACAUCCCAUCACUGCUACCUGCACAUCAGGCCAAAUCUGGAGCAGGUGAUCACCUUUUAUUUGUAUUUUAAAAACUCGUAUUAUUAAUAGGUGCAAGACAGUUGAGGAAGUCCCAAGAAGGAAGACACAGAUCCAGAUUUUAAGGAAGCUGUGAAGUUGUGUAAACAGGACACAGCCUAGUGUGUACAAAGCUGAAGAUGAAUGGAGAAAACUAGGCAAAUUGAGACUUCAGGAAGCUGGGCCAAGGCUAGGGGCCUAUUUCUGGAGACCUUGUCCCUCGUGGCUUCCUUGUCUUUAGGGACAGACCAGAACACAGGUAGCAUGGCCUUGUACUUCAGGCCCCCACUCUUCUCAGUCUUCCUCACUCCUUUUUUAAAAACAGCAUCAUUGAGGGGUAAGUAAUAUGUAACUGCAGAUAUAUAACAUGCACAGUUCAGUAAUUUCUGACCUGUGUUUACAUGAAUGAAGCCAUCAGACCAAGCACUAAGGAAACACGUGCACUAUCCCCAAGAAUUUCCCCCUUUCCUUCCCCACCUCCAUCUCGACACUAGCAACCAUUGGUCCACUUUCUGUCACCAUAAAUUAGUUUGCAUUUUAAGAGUUGGAUGAAAACAGGAUCAUAGAGUACAUACUCUUUUUUUAUACAGCUUCUCUCAGAAUAUUUUGAGAUUCACUCCUGGCAUUAAGUAUACCAGUGAUUAAUUCCUUGUUAUUGCUGAGUAAAUGUCCCUGUGUAAAUAUACUACAAUUUAUCCUUUUACAUUUUGAUAGACAGUGGGAUUCAGUUUUAAAAAUAAAGUUGUAUUUUGGCUUUCCAGAAGCACAUUCUUGCAUGUAGUCCCAGGUUUGGGGAUAAAGGGUGGCAAAAUCUCUGAGGAAUCAUGGCCGCCUCUUUGGAACCCUACCCUCUUUCUUGGAUCAAGGGAGAUAAAAU
rnacentral:lncRNA from 1 species